rnacentral:pre_miRNA from 1 species
UUUAUACUCCCUCCGUCCGGAAAUACUUGUUCCAUAAAUAGAUGUAUCUAGACUUAUUUUAGUUAUAGAUACAUUCAUUUUGUACAUUUCUGGGACAAGUAUUUCCGGACGGAGGGAGUAUUAU